rnacentral:rRNA from 1 species
AGAGUUUGAUUCUGGCUCAGGAUGAACGCUGGCGGCGUGCCUAACACAUGCAAGUCGAGCGAAGCGAUUUUGAGGAAGUUUUCGGAUGGAAUCGAAAUUGACUUAGCGGCGGACGGGUGAGUAACACGUGGGUAAUCUGCCUUAUAAAGGGGGAUAACAGUUAGAAAUGACUGCUAAUACCGCAUAAGCGCACGGGAACGCAUGUUUCUGUGUGAAAAACUCCGGUAGUAUAAGAUGAGCCCGCGUCUGAUUAGCUGGUUGGUGGGGUAACGGCCUACCAAGGCGACGAUCAGUAGCCGGCCUGAGAGGGUGAACGGCCACAUUGGGACUGAGACACGGCCCAAACUCCUACGGGAGGCAGCAGUGGGGAAUAUUGCACAAUGGGGGAAACCCUGAUGCAGCGACGCCGCGUGAGUGAAGAAGUAUUUCGGUAUGUAAAGCUCUAUCAGCAGGGAAGAAAAAAGACGGUACCUGACUAAGAAGCCCCGGCUAACUACGUGCCAGCAGCCGCGGUAAUACGUAGGGGGCAAGCGUUAUCCGGAUUUACUGGGUGUAAAGGGAGCGUAGACGGCGCGGCAAGUCUGAAGUGAAAGGCAGGGGCUUAACCCCUGAACUGCUUUGGAAACUGCCAUGCUAGAGUGCUGGAGAGGUAAGUGGAAUUCCUAGCGUAGCGGUGAAAUGCGUAGAUAUUAGGAGGAACACCAGAGGCGAAGGCGGCUUACUGGACAGUAACUGACGUUGAGGCUCGAAAGCGUGGGGAGCAAACAGGAUUAGAUACCCUGGUAGUCCACGCCGUAAACG